GCUCCAAUAGCGUAUAUUAAAGUUGCUGCAGUUAAAAAGCUCGUAGUUGGAUUUCUGGCGUUUCAUUUCAGGCCGGCCACGGUUUCGUGUGUUAGUGCUUGAGAUCUUCGCCAUCCUUCCAAUGGCUAUUCAUCCUUCUUCAUUGAAGGUGUGAGUGGUAUUGGAUCUUUUACUUUGAAAAAAUUAGAGUGUUUCAAGCA
rnacentral:rRNA from 1 species